rnacentral:rRNA from 1 species
AUGAACGCUGGCGGCGUGCCUUAAGCAUGCAAGUCGAACGGCCCCCGCAAGGGGCAAGUGGCGGACGGUCGAAGUAAACGCGUGGGGAUCUGCCUUAAAGUUGGACAUAGCUCGUCGAAAGACGGGGGUAAUUUCCAAUGUGAACGUAAGUUUUAAAGCCGCAAGGCGCUUUUAAGAUGAGGCCCGCGUCCUAUCAGCUAGUUGGUGAGGUAAUGGCUCACCAAGGCGUCGACGGGUAGCUGGUCUGAGAGGAUGAUCAGCCGGAAAUAGCACUGAGACACGGGCUAUACAUCUACGGAUGGCAGCAACUGGGAAUCUUGCGCAAUGGACGAAAGUCUGACGCAGCGACGCCGCGUGGAGGAUUGAAGGCCCUCGGGUUGUAAACUCCUUUUGAAUGGGAAGAUUAUGACUGUACCAUUAGAAUAAGCACCUGCUAACUACGUGCCAGAAGCCUCGGUAAUACGUAGGGUGCAAGCGUUAUCCGGAUUUAUUGGGCGUAAAAGUGUUGCGUAGGCGGUUUGUCACAUCCUGUUUAAAAGGCUACGACUCAAUCGUAGUUUUGGACAAGAUAUGGACAAACUUGAUGACUAAAGAGGGUACUGGAACUCUAUAUGUAGCAGUGAAAUGCGUUGAUAUGUAGAGGAACACCAAAGGCGUAGGCAGGUACCUGGGUAGUCCAUGACGCUGAGGCACGACAGCUUGGGGGAGCGAAGCAGAUUAGAGACCUGCGUAGUCCAAGGCCGUAAACGAUGAAUGCUAGUUAGUCCCUCUUUUUGGGACCGACGUAAGGUAAUCCGUUAAGCAUUCCGCCUGGGGAGUACGGUCGCAAGACUAAAACUCAAAGGAAUUGACGGGGGAGGCGCAACAAGCAGUGGAGCAUGUGGUUUAAUUCGAUACAAAGCGAAAAAAACCUCACCAGGGUUUGACAUGUAGAUGCUAAGCUUAUGAAAGUAAGCCUCCUUCGAGGGUUUCUACACAGAUGGUGCAUGGCUGUCGUCAGCUCGUGGCGUGAGCUGUACCGUUAAGUCGGGUAACGAGCGCAACCCGCACCGUAUGUUAAAUAAUUCAUGCGGAACAGCCCUACUUUUGUAGGGAGGAAGGCGCGGAUGACGUCAAGUCAGCACGCCUCUUACACCCUGGGCUACACACAUCCUACAAUGGCUAAAACAACGAGCCGCAAACGGGUAACCGUAAGCAAAUCUCUAAAAAUUAGCCUCAGUUCAGAUUGAGGGCUGCAAUUUGCCCUCAUGAAGUCGGAAUUGCUAGUAAUCGCGAAUCAGCAGGUCGCGGUGAAUACGUUCUCGCCUCUUGUACACACCGCCCGUCAAGGCAGCAAAGUUGGGGGCGCCCCGAACUCCUGUUUUCAGGAGGAAGGCGAAACCAGCGAUGAAGCUU